UUUUUUUUUUUCAAAUUUAAAAAUUUUUAAAUCUAUGAUACUGAAGUUAGCAGACGUCUAAUAGUUUUUGGAUUUUCAUUUAGAGGAUGAACCAUAAAAAAAAAAAUAUUUGCAAAAAUUGCACCAGUAGUUUUUAAAAUUUUCUACAUGUGCAUAUUUUUAGUUUUAGUUUUUUUGUAAUUGAUUGGGUGAAAAAAAAAUCCGAAAAUUAUUAAUUGUCUGCUAACUUUAGAAUCAUUUAAAUCUGCUAUUUGAAUGCCAUAAUUCUACGAUCCUGAAAUUUGUAGAUAAAACUUUUGGAUUUUUUUUAAACAAAUUAAAAACAAAAAGAAAAAACUAAAAAUAUGCACAGGUAGAAAAUUAAAAAAUCUAUAGGUGCAAUUUUUGUAAAUAUUUUUUUUUAAACAACUUAUCGUUUUUAAAAGAAUCAAAAAAUUAUUAGACAUCGGCUGACUUCAGUAUCACUACAAUUCUUGCAUUUAAAUAAAUAAAUAAAUGAAUUUAAUACUGACUCGUAGCCAUUAGACAUUUAUUAACUUUGUUGACUUUAACUUAAUAAUUAACUUUGAUGCCCUAGUAAAUUAUAUGUCUACUUUACCCGGGGAAAAUUUUAUGCCGCCGAAAGUAGCCGACAUAUGAAAAGUUUAUUAUUUUUAAUUAUCGUUAAUUGUCAUCAGAAAAAUAAAAUAAAUAAAUAAAUAUUUUAAAUGACUGCUACUUUGAUUACGAUAAAAUUUUUCUUAUUUAAAUAUGCGUGAAAUAAAAAUAAUAAAAUAUGUAUUUAAACAUUAAAAUUUAUUUUUAAAACCUGGGAAAAUAUUUAUCUUUACAUUAUAGUUAUUUUAAAAAAAGAAAUUCGUUUAUAAUAAACUCGAGAUAAUUAAAAGUGUAGACAAAAAGAUAGUGAGUGACUACUGGGUAAUCAGUAAAAAACUCAAAUUGACAUUGAUAAAAUAAUAGCGAUCAGUGAUCAGUGAGAAAUGUAACACAGUAAGGAUAUAUGUUAAUAUAAUAUUGCUUGCUAAUUGCAAAUACUGUAUAUCACAGUUACAUCAGUCUCAAAAGUUCUCAAAAAUUGGUAACUCUUAAACUUUAAAUAUAACAAUUAUAAUUAAUUCUAUCGACUGAAGUUUAAAUACUUUCUUUUGUACAAUCUACUGAGACAUUCUUCAGGGUCGUCUUUGAACCUCAUACCAAC